GACGAACGCUGGCGGCGUGCUUAACACAUGCAAGUCGAACGGUGAUCCAGGGCUUGCUCUGGUGAUCAGUGGCGAACGGGUGAGUAACACGUGAGUAACCUGCCCCUGACUCUGGGAUAACUGCUGGAAACGGUGGCUAAUACCGGAUAUGAGACCUUGCCGCAUGGUAUGGGUUUGGAAAGAUUUUUUGGUCAGGGAUGGGCUCGCGGCCUAUCAGCUUGUUGGUGGGGUGAUGGCCUACCAAGGCGACGACGGGUAGCCGGCCUGAGAGGGCGACCGGCCACACUGGGACUGAGACACGGCCCAGACUCCUACGGGAGGCAGCAGUGGGGAAUAUUGCACAAUGGGCGAAAGCCUGAUGCAGCGACGCCGCGUGAGGGAUGGAGGCCUUCGGGUUGUAAACCUCUUUCAGCAGGGAAGAAGCGCAAGUGACGGUACCUGCAGAAGAAGCGCCGGCUAACUACGUGCCAGCAGCCGCGGUAAUACGUAGGGCGCAAGCGUUGUCCGGAAUUAUUGGGCGUAAAGAGCUCGUAGGCGGUUUGUCGCGUCUGCUGUGAAAACUUCAGGCUCAACCUGGGGCUUGCAGUGGGUACGGGCAGACUAGAGUGCGGUAGGGGUGACUGGAAUUCCUGGUGUAGCGGUGGAAUGCGCAGAUAUCAGGAGGAACACCGAUGGCGAAGGCAGGUCACUGGGCCGCAACUGACGCUGAGGAGCGAAAGCAUGGGGAGCGAACAGGAUUAGAUACCCUGGUAGUCCAUGCCGUAAACGUUGGGCACUAGGUGUGGGGCUCAUUCCACGAGUUCCGUGCCGCAGC
rnacentral:rRNA from 1 species